UGCCAUUGCCCUUGCCAUGAUCAAAGUCAGUGUUUCUUCUUCAAAAUGUAUCAUCUUUCUGUAUCUUUGGAAUUUUUCUUCUCAAGAGAGCCCUAAGAUUUUUCUUCUUGUACAUGCAGAUUUAUAGCUGGAGAACAUGGGAAAAUCAAGCGAAGUCAAUGGCUCCACAGGAACUACAAGGUUCCCCGCAAUCUGCCUCAAACCACACAAAAAUGAGGCGACUAUCAACUUUCAUUUUUCACCACACAUCCCAUCCAUGGAGCCAGCAUAGAGUUCUUGUUUGGCUGCUUUGUUUCAGCCGCCAGUUUUGGAGUUCCAUUAAUCAAGCUGACUACAUGGCCUUGCG